rnacentral:rRNA from 1 species
AAAAGUACGUGAAACUGCUUAGAGGUUAAACCCGAUGAACCUAAAUAUCCAGUAUGAGAAAGUCAUUAUUAUGAGUAUAUUAUUUUAUAAUGUAUUAAUAGUGUGCAUUUUUUUCAUAAAAAGGACAUUGUAAUCUGUUAAUACAAUUUAUAUAUUCUUUUAUAUAUUAUUUUUAUCAUAAAGAGUCAUGUAUAAGUUUACAUAUAAAUUAAUUAAUUUAUUAAUUAAUUGAUGUAAGAUCGAUGAAUUUCUAGAUAAAUAGUUAACAGUAUUAAAAUAUAUAAUGCUUACAUAAUUUUUUAUGUUUUAUAUAUAAUAUGUACAUGUACGAUAUAUAUGUUUUUGCACAUAUAUUAUAACAAUGA